rnacentral:rRNA from 1 species
UACAGAGGUCUCAAGCGUUGUUCGGAUUCAUUGGGCGUAAAGGGUGCGUAGGCGGCGCGGUAAGUCGGGUGUGAAAUCUCGGAGCUUAACUCCGAAACUGCAUUCGAUACUGCCGUGCUUGAGGACUGGAGAGGAGACUGGAAUUUACGGUGUAGCGGUGAAAUGCGUAGAUAUCGUAAGGAAGACCAGUGGCGAAGGCGGGUCUCUGGACAGUGCGUGACGCUGAGGCGCGAAAGUGUGGGGAGCGAACCGG